rnacentral:sRNA from 1 species
GUUUAGCCCUGAUUGAAAUGACAUCCUUUUUAUGCUGAACUAGAUUCUAUAUCUGCUAAAUUAAAUAAAUUAGCUUUUAAAUAAGAACAGAUGCUGAAAUAAAUUCAGCAUAAAAAGAUAUAAUGGAAAGCAGGAAAUAGC